UACAUGGGGUGCAAACGUUGCUCGGAAUCAUUGGGCGUAAAGCGCGCGUAGGCGGUUACUUAAGUCGUAUGUGAAAGCCCUCGGCUUAACUGAGGAAGUGCAUCCGAAACUGAGUAGCUAGAGUACGAAAGAGGGUCGCGGAAUUCCCGGUGUAGAGGUGAAAUUCGUAGAUAUCUGGAGGAACACCGGUGGCGAAGGCGGCAUCCUGGACCAAUUCUGACACUGAGGAGCGAAAGCCAGGGGAGCAAACGGG
rnacentral:rRNA from 1 species